rnacentral:rRNA from 1 species
GCAUGCAGGUGGUUUGUUAAGUCAGAUGUGAAAGCCCUGGGCUCAACCUAGGAAUCGCAUUUGAAACUGACAAGCUAGAGUACUGUAGAGGGGGGUAGAAUUUCAGGUGUAGCGGUGAAAUGCGUAGAGAUUUGAAGGAAUACCGGUGGCGAAGGCGGCCCCCUGGACAGAUACUGACACUCAGAUGCGAAAGCGUGGGGAGCAAACAGGAUUAGAUACCCUGGUAGUCCACGCUGUAAACGAUGUCUACUUGGAGGUUGUGCCCUAGAGGCGUGGCUUUCGGAGCUAACGCGUUAAGUAGACCGCCUGGGGAGUACGGUCGCAAGAUUAAAACUCAAAUGAAUUGACGGGGGCCCGCACAAGCGGUGGAGCAUGUGGUUUAAUUCGAUGCAACGCGAAGAACCUUACCUACUCUUGACAUCCAGAGAAUCUAGCGGAGACGCUGGAGUGCCUUCGGGAGCUCUGAGACAGGUGCUGC